GGCGAACGCUGGCGGCAGGCUUAACACAUGCAAGUCGAGCGGGCGUAGCAAUACGUCAGCGGCAGACGGGUGAGUAACGCGUGGGAACAUACCUUUUGGUUCGGAACAACACAGGGAAACUUGUGCUAAUACCGGAUAAGCCCUUACGGGGAAAGAUUUAUCGCCGAAAGAUUGGCCCGCGUCUGAUUAGCUAGUUGGUGAGGUAAUGGCUCACCAAGGCGACGAUCAGUAGCUGGUCUGAGAGGAUGAUCAGCCACAUUGGGACUGAGACACGGCCCAAACUCCUACGGGAGGCAGCAGUGGGGAAUAUUGGACAAUGGGGGCAACCCUGAUCCAGCCAUGCCGCGUGAGUGAUGAAGGCCCUAGGGUUGUAAAGCUCUUUUGUGCGGGAAGAUAAUGACGGUACCGCAAGAAUAAGCCCCGGCUAACUUCGUG
rnacentral:rRNA from 1 species